rnacentral:tRNA from 1 species
UCCUCAGUAGCUCAGUAGGUUAGAGCAUCUGGCUGUUAACCAGAGGGCCGUAGGUUCGAGUCCUACCUGAGGAGCCA